rnacentral:rRNA from 1 species
GGCUCAGAUUGAACGCUGGCGGCAGGCCUAACACAUGCAAGUCGAGCGGUAACAGGGGUAGCUUGCUACCCGCUGACGAGCGGCGGACGGGUGAGUAAUGCAUAGGAAUCUGCCCGGUAGUGGGGGAUAACCUGGGGAAACCCAGGCUAAUACCGCAUACGUCCUACGGGAGAAAGGGGGCUUCGGCUCCCGCUAUUGGAUGAGCCUAUGUCGGAUUAGCURGUUGGUGAGGUAAYGGCUCACCAAGGCGACGAUCCGUAGCUGGUCUGAGAGGAUGAUCAGCCACAUCGGGACUGAGACACGGCCCGAACUCCUACGGGAGGCAGCAGUGGGGAAUAUUGGACAAUGGGGGCAACCCUGAUCCAGCCAUGCCGCGUGUGUGAAGAAGGCCCUCGGGUUGUAAAGCACUUUCAGCGAGGAAGAACGCCUGUCGGUUAAUACCCGG